rnacentral:lncRNA from 1 species
AUGAAGAUGAAUUUCCUAAAGAAUAAUACCACCAUUUUGAUUGUUUUGGUGAUCCUCUCGAUGGCCUUUUUGAGCAAUCAUGGGGUUGAGGCAACAAGAGUGUUGCAAGAGGACUUUGCUCAUGCUAAUCACCUUCAAACACACUACCCUCCCUCUGUCUGCCAAACCGCAAAGAACACCAUGGCCUGUUGGCUCCAAAGAUUGGCUUCUGGGCCUAGCCCUAGAGGCAGUGGUCACUAG